rnacentral:rRNA from 1 species
UAACCCAAUGUGAACGUUACCAAACUGUUGCCUCGGCGGGAUCUCUGCCCCGGGUGCGUCGCAGCCCCGGACCAAGGCGCCCGCCGGAGGACCAACCAAAACUCUUAUUGUAUACCCCCUCGCGGGUUUUUUUUAUAAUCUGAGCCUUCUCGGCGCCUCUCGUAGGCGUUUCGAAAAUGAAUCAAAACUUUCAACAACGGAUCUCUUGGUUCUGGCAUCGAUGAAGAACGCAGCGAAAUGCGAUAAGUAAUGUGAAUUGCAGAAUUCAGUGAAUCAUCGAAUCUUUGAACGCACAUUGCGCCCGCCAGUAUUCUGGCGGGCAUGCCUGUCCGAGCGUCAUUUCAACCCUCGAACCCCUCCGGGGGGUCGGCGUUGGGGAUCGGCCCUGCCUUGGCGGUGGCCGUCUCCGAAAUACAGUGGCGGUCUCGCCGCAGCCUCUCCUGCGCAGUAGUUUGCACACUCGCAUCGGGAGCGCGGCGCGUCCACAGCCGUUAAACACCCAACUUCUGAAAUGUUGACCUCGGAUCAGGUAGGAAUACCCGCUGAACUUAAGCAUAUCAAUAAGCGGAGGA